GCCCGAUCCCCAAUGUGGGGCAUGCAAGAGGCAGCCGAUCAAUGAUUCUCUCCCAUCAUUGAUGUUUCUAUCUCUCCCUCUCCCUUCCUCUCUGAAAAAAGAAAAAAAAGAAAGAUAGAAAAAUGUGGCCAACAGAUCCAGGAGCAACCACAGAGCUUUACUGCCCACUUUAGGGUGGCCGUCGGUAGGCCAAACUAUGAAGGUUGCUGAUGUCUUUCCAUCCCUCCUCCCUUGGGUAGGGAAGUUUAGACCAUCUCGCUCUUGUGGGAAAUUUAGAGCCUGGAAGAUUAUUAAAAACACUGAUGAUUUUUUAAAAAAUCACAUUAAAUGUCUCAUUUUGCAUAUUCUUUACAGUUUUCAUUCUCUAUCCGCUAGAUGAGACUGCCUGACCACACCCGGUCAUUCUGGGCUGCCUGUUCUAAUGAGCUGUUUGCUCAGGCCCGUGAGAUUUCUGACGUUGACUUAGCAAAGCAGAGCCCUUUCCCCAAGGACUUUCGGAUCUCUCGCAGCAAAUGGUCCUGGUUAGAGCCAUGAGCAGGCCCAGGGCCUUUCAGGAGCUAGAGGUUCAUUCUCCCAAGGAAGGUUCUUUCUCAGAUACCUGGGGUCACAUUAGGAAAAACUUUUUUUUAAUUGAUUUUUAGAGAGAGGGAAAGACAAAGAGAAAUAUCGAUGUGAGAGAAACACAAUGAUUGCUUGCCUCCUGCACACGCCCCGACCAGGGCCCAGGCCGGGGAGGAACCUGUAACCAAGGUACAUGCCCUUGACCGGAUCGAACCCAGGACCCUUUGGUCUGCAGGCCGACACUCUAUCCACUGAGCCAAACCGGCUAGGGCAGGAAAAACAUUUUGAAUCCAGGCCUUGCUUUGGAUCUGAUGAGUUGGUCCCUCCCUAUAGUCACUAUUGCAGGCAAAGGACCAACAACAUCUUCGGGCCUGGCUGCCAACAGCCACCAUGGCCCAUGCCUGUUACUAAAGGCCAAGCAAGGAGAAAGGAGGGCAUAGAAGGAGGCAGAUGGAGAGAGUGAGGAGCCAGCCAGUGCAAAAGCAGACCCACGGUAGCGAGAGUUCAAACACCAGCUUCUAGAAGAAGCGGAGGCAGACACAGAUUUCAUUGAUGUCGGCCCAAGAACUGUAGAGGAUACAGUGGGAAAGUUUGGAUUGAGGAGUGGCGACAUGGGAAUAAGAGUUUGCGCAUUGACAGAUGUCUUAGGUCUGGAUCCCUUGAAGUAAAGCCUUUCAGAGAGGUAAAACACCACCACCAACUUUUCACUUGUAAAGAAGUUCAGGAUCCCUCUUAUGACACACAAAAAUACUCAGACUCUCAGAGUCUCAAAAUACAGGUAUGCCUUCAUCACUUUCUACCAGUGAGGACAAUUUCUAAGAAGGUGAUUCAUAUUAGAAAAAUGUGAUGUGUUUUGUUUCUGUGCCAAUACUAGGAAACCGCUGGAGUAUUGCAGGAGCUUUGAACGCUGCCUCAGUCGCACAUUGACUUCCGUGCAAGACAAACCACAGGUGUUAUUCAUCUUCUGGCCUCUAGGCUUCAGCGCACCUCAAAGCACCCCAAAUGGUUCUCAAACUUGAAUUGCAUUUAAAUCACCCGGAGGGCUAGUUAAAACACAGAGCCAGGCCCACCCACAGGGUUUCCGCUUCAUGGGUCUGGGCUGGCACCAGAAAAUUUGCAGCUCCAGCAUGAUUCCAGGAGAAGUUGAUGCCUCUGGUCCGAGAACCACGCUCUGAGAACCACUGUCAUAAACAGUUCUUGCUGAGCCACCAGAAGAUGAUCUAGAUGCUAUGAAAUGGGUGGCUCUACAGCCAGAUGAAUCCAUCCUGGGCUCACGCUGUUUCCCUGGAGCUCACAAUUGUCACAACAGAGUGAAGACCAGGUGGGCACAGGUCAUUUCACAUUUUCAGUUCCUAUGUUUCGCCAUCAAGUAGGUAUUCACACCUGAUAUCCUAGUCCUUAGCCCUCUUAAAACUUUCCUCCCCUCCCAUGUCAUUCCUCUUACUGGAGUUCAGAGAAAUGGUUAAUCCGGAGAGAGGAAACCAAGGACUGAGCUCUGUUAGUCCUGGCAAAAAUUCUAAGACAUUCCUAGGCACAGACCGGUCAAGGACAACUACGCCAUUUCCGAGAGGAAACGGUGCUUACCGGUACAAAGCUGACCUUAUUUUUUAAAAAACGAUGGGCUGUCCCACAGAAUGGAGGGAACAGCCGUGGAUGUGUGUCCGGCCAUCCUCACCUUGCCCUCCCCCACCCCCAACAAAAUGCCAGUCUUAAAUUCUCUCCAAUUUCAACAAACAAUUAAAAAGAAGUCUCAAAGCUUCCAGACUA